AUAGUCCUCAUUCAAAUCUUGCUACUUGUCCCAACAUUGUCCUUCAUAACAAUGUUCGUUCUAGGCUAGUAUCCAAAAGAGGAUCAUGCGUUGCAUUUAGUUUUCAUGUCUCUUUCAUCUCCUUUGACUUGAAACCUUUGUCUGUUAUGACACUGACAUUUUCGAACAAUUUUCUCUCAAUUUAGGCUUAUGUUUCCUCAUGAUUAUGCCUUACCACUGAAUUUUUGAUGUUGUAUUUUUCAGUUUAACAUAUCCAAAGCACAUGAUGUCAAUUUGUAUCCAUUAAAGAAAAAAUUUAAAGACCCUCAUUAAAGAUGAUUCCACAAUUUAACACUUGUAUCUGUGAACAAAGAUGCAUAUUCAAGGACAUUUAUUUUCUCAUCACUCUCUCAGCUUAUUUCUCAAAUGCCUCCUAACUGUUCUCCCUAUUUCUACAGUGGCCCCUCUAUAGUCUCUUUUCCACACAUCAUCCAGAAUAAUUUUUAAAAAAUCUCAUCACAUUUCCCUGUGCUCAUAAUGUUCCUCUAAGGAAAAAAAUCCAAAAUUUUCUACAUGGCUUCAAGAUGCCACAGGAUCCAGCUUCAUCUAUAACUUCAUUAACUAUUCAGUUCAGUUCAGUCACUCAGUCGUGUCUGACUCUUUGUGACCCCAGGAACCACAGCAUGCCAGGCCUCCUGGUCCAUCACCAACUCCCGGAGUCCACCCAAACCCAUGUCCACUGAGUUGGUGACGCCAUCCAUUAACUGUUACAUUUUCACUAACUCACCGGACAAGGACACCCCAGCCAAGGGUGUUUGUACUUGCUUUUCUCCCCCAGCUAUUCAAAUGGCUUGUAAAGGUCUUUAUUAGGUCUCCACUGAAGAGUCACCUCUUCUGAGAAGCCUUCCGUAAGUAUCCUGAUGAAAACAGCACCCCAUCACUUAUUGCUGUAUGACACUGCAUUGUAUAUUCCCCUUUGCUUAUUGUCAGUCUUCAUUUCCCUACAUUACAUCUCUAGAGUAAGCUCUAUCGAGGGCAGAGAGUUGUUUUUCUCCUAGAGCCCCAGUGCCUAGAAUACUGCCCAGCAUAUGUGGGCUUUCAAAUGCCUGUCAAGUCAGUGAAGAUGACUUUCAUUCCUUGGGACUUUUGCAUUCACCAUACUUUCUGCCUGGCUUCCCCUCACCCUUCUCUUUGCACAGCUAGCUUUUUCAUUUCUUUAGGUCUCAGCUUAAAUGUUUUCCAUAAGGACAGAAACUACCAUGGCUAUCUCAUUCACGACUAUAUCCUCAAGGCCUGCAAUAGUUCCUGGCAAAUAAAAGGCAUUCAAGAAAUUUGUUGGAUGGAUUUUUAAUAGCUAAAAACUGGAAAGAAUCCAAAUGCUACAGACUGUUGAAGAAUGAGGUAACACCAUGUUCAUUGGCAUAAAACGAUGUCCAAGAUAUACUUAAUGUAAAAGGCAACAAGCAAAACUGCGAUUCCUUUUAUGUAGUUAAUAUUAGGUGCACAGAAAAAAAUAGUAAAAAAACACUAGAUUGGACCUCAGUGAUCAUUUGUGGGUGAUGGGCUUCCCGGGUGUCUCUAGUGGUAAAGAACCCUCCUGCCAAUGCAGGAGACAUAAGAGACACAGGUUCAGUCUCUGGGUCAGGAAGAUCCCCUGCAGGAGGAUAUGGAAACCCAUUCCAGUAGCCUUGCCUGGAGAAUCUCAUGGACAGAGGAGCCUGGGGGGCUACAGUGCAUAGGGUCGCACACAGUUGGACACAACUGAAGGGACUUAGCAUGCCCACACAAAAUAUUAGAACAGAUUUUAACUCUCUAUUUUAUAAAUUUCUGUAUUGCAAACUACUUUUUAAAAACAAAUACUAAAAAAAUAAAAACAAAUACUAACCUUUGAGCACUUAGUAUAUGACAGUUACUGUGGUAAACAUUUUGUGUGCAGGAUUUCAUGAUAUCUUCUCAAUAAUCUUAUGAGAUAGGUCCUGAUACCAUCAUCCCCAUUCUCGAUGAGGAAAUUGGUUCAGGGACAUUAAAUAGUUCACUCAAGAUCACACAGCAGACCUAACACACUACAACAGCUCCCUGUGUUUCCAUAAUUUACAAAAAGAAAGAAAGGAAAAUAAGCUGAAACUAGGGGUAAUAGUUCAGGAUCCAGGUUUUACACAAAAGAUGCUAAGUAAAUUUGGCUCCCUAGAAACCAGGGCAAAGAGAAAAAUAUGAUCAAUUAUGAGAUCCUUGGUGCUUCAAAGAUAAAAAAAGCAAACCACUCAUCAGGAGAAACAUCUUUACCAAGUGCUGAGGUUUAACAGAACUUCUGCAUGAACCUCAUAAUUAUAGCAGUGUUCAAUCAAGUGAUCUACAGUUUCAGUAACAUACCUGUAUACCCAGGUAUCUUCUGGCCAACUACAAAUGGAAGUUCACUGAAAGCAAUUCCAUGAGGAACCAACUUCAUACAGCCUGGGUGUCAGAUCUGGUGGUAUGGCUAGACCCGUAGUUAAAAUCGGAUGUGUGGCUUAAUCCUCCAGCAAACUCCUAGAAUAGUGCACAUUCAACCUAUUAAAGACUGUUAGGCAGAAGGAGGAGACAAGAUACAAAUAUAUGUAUGACUGAGUCCCUUCGAUGUUCACCUGAAACUAUCAUAACAUUGUUUAUCGGCUGUCCCACAAUAUAAAAGUUUAAAAAGAAUUGGGACACAAGAUGUGACAUCAUCUUAGAUUUCAACCCUGGUAAAAUUUCCAGGUAGGCUGUGUUAGUUUUAUUCUUCUUUAACAGAUGAGUAAACUGAGACUCAGAGAGUCUAAAAAAUGUCAGUUCAGUUCAGUCAGUCUGACUCUUUGCAACCCCAAGGACUGCAGCACAACAGGCCUCCCUGUCCAUCACCAACUCCUGGAGUUUACCCAAACUCAUGUCAGAGCCAGCCCUAAAUCUGUGUCUUAGGGAUCCCUUCCUCAGCCAUGCUUGCCAUCCACACCUCAAUAAAAUAGCUGAUGCCCUCAGAAUCUCUCUGUGGAUGGUGGGCUCAGGACCUAGGAGAGAGUCGUCUUGCACUGGAAGGCAGCUGGUUAAGGGAAAGUGGGGCCCAGCGAGUGAGGAAGCACACGUUUCCCACUCUAAUCCCUGACACCUUGUACCCCAAAAAGGGAAGUAAAGCUCACAUUACAUAGAUGAAGAAACGCCACCUCCACCCCCAAACAUAAAAACAAUCUUAAAGCCUACACCUGACUUCAGUCACUUUUCUUUACAAGCUGCGAAUAAGUGGGCCCUCAGCUUGGGGAGUUAGGGGAGAUUUCCUGGAGAGAAGAGACGAAAAAGGGCACGUGGGGGCUCAUUGCAGGGCAGGGUUGGGCAGGGAGGAAACAGAGGGUCCAGGCCCUUCCUCCACCACACGCUCAGGCUUUCCAAGUCCAAGGAGAAGGAAGGAGUAACAGGACACCCACUCAGAGAUCUCUAUGAUCCCUUUUCGCCCUCUCCCCACCAUCCUGCAAAAACCUGAAAUCAAGGAAGAGCCUCAAGCCGGUGGUGGUUAAAAAAAAAAAAAAAGGCAAAAGUACAGGUGACAGGUGCACCCAGCCCCAGCGCAUAGCUGCGGCGGCAGGAGAACGGCGCGCGUGCUCACAGACGCCUGCCGCCGGGCCUCGCGCGCCCCCAGCUCAAGCCUUCCUCUUCUUCAGGCGGCCGCGCUCCACCGCUUCCCCCGCGGGACUCUCGUCCCCGCUGUCGCUGCUGGCCGGCGGCCGCAGGACUCCCCUCUUGACGCGGUACUCGGG
ensembl:lncRNA